CGUAUAAAACUUGUCCAAUUAAGAUUUAGGGAAAAGAAAUCCAUUAUUUUGACUUGAUUUUUCCACAUCUCUGUUAAUCACCUUUUGGCAGUAAAAACAGUAACGGUCGGGCUCAAGGAUUUCCAUUAUUUUAUUCACAUUUUCGAAAAUUGACCUUCCAGAGCGUGGUGCAUCUUAGAUAUCAUAGUUACUGGAACGGAACAGACGAAAUCAAAAUUUGUCCAUUUUUUCUUUCACGUACGCUCAAACAAUCACAAAACUGUCAAAAUAUUUUUAUAGUACGAAAUAUUAUCUUUCUAACACCAUCUAGUGCAAACCGAUCUCACUUAUACAAUGCGAGAUACACAAAACUAAAGCCAUCUAUUGAUUUCUUUUUAAUACACCUAUUAUCAUGACUCAUGUGUCGGGCUAAUGGACAUCCCGUUAAAGAAAGUAAAAGCCAUAAUAGAUAGUUAUAAAUUACUUUGUGUUUUUGGAGGAGAUAAUGCAUCUAUUAUUCGCAACGACUGGAUAAUUUAUAUGUUGAGAAGAACAUCAUUUAGAUUAAUGACCUCAUUAUUUCAACAUCAAAGAAGAACUUGUUCUUUGAAAUAUACAUAAUUCAUUACUAA
rnacentral:lncRNA from 1 species